AGCGAACGCUGGCGGCAUGCCUAACACAUGCAGGUCGAACGAGACCUUCGGGUCUAGUGGCGCACGGGUGCGUAACGCGUGGGAACCUGCCCUUAGGUUCGGAAUAACUCCCCGAAAGGGGUGCUAAUACCGGAUAAUGUCUUCGGACCAAAGAUUUAUCGCCUUUGGAUGGGCCCGCGUUGGAUUAGCUAGUUGGGAGGGUAAAAGCAUACCAAGGCGAGGAUCCAUAGCUGGUCUGAGAGGAUGGUCAGCCACACUGGGACUGAGACACGGCCCAGACUCCUACGGGAGGGAGCAGUGGGGAAUAUUGGACAAUGGGCGAAAGCCUGAUCCAGCUAUGCCGCGUGAGUGAUGAAGGCCUUAGGGUUGUAAAGCUCUUUUACCCGGGAUGAUAAUGACAGUACCGGGAGAAUAAGCUCCGGCUAACUCCGUG
rnacentral:rRNA from 1 species